rnacentral:rRNA from 1 species
GCGAACGCUGGCGGCAGGCUUAACACAUGCAAGUCGAACGGGCACUUCGGUGCUAGUGGCAGACGGGUGAGUAACACGUGGGAACGUACCUUUUGGUUCGGAAUAAUUCAGGGAAACUUGGACUAAUACCGGAUACGCCCUUCGGGGGAAAGAUUUAUCGCCGAAAGAUCGGCCCGCGUCUGAUUAGCUAGUUGGUGAGGUAAUGGCUCACCAAGGCGACGAUCAGUAGCUGGUCUGAGAGGAUGAUCAGCCACACUGGGACUGAGACACGGCCCAGACUCCUACGGGAGGCAGCAGUGGGGAAUAUUGGACAAUGGGCGCAAGCCUGAUCCAGCCAUGCCGCGUGUGUGAUGAAGGCCUUAGGGUUGUAAAGCACUUUGUCCGGGAAGAUAAUGA